UGAACGCUAGCGACAGGCUUAACACAUGCAAGUCGAGGGGUAACAGGGUAGCAAUACCGCUGACGACCGGCGCACGGGUGAGUAACGCGUAUGCAACCUGCCUAUAACUGGGGAAUAGCUCCCUGAAAGGGGAAUUAACACCGCAUAACACUAUUGAUUCGCAUGGAUUGGUAGUUAAAUGUAGCGAUACAGGUUAUAGAUGGGCAUGCGUGACAUUAGCUAGUUGGUGAGGUAACGGCUCACCAAGGCUACGAUGUCUAGGGGUUCUGAGAGGAAGGUCCCCCACACUGGUACUGAGACACGGACCAGACUCCUACGGGAGGCAGCAGUGAGGAAUAUUGGUCAAUGGGCGCAAGCCUGAACCAGCCAUGUCGCGUGCAGGAAGACUGCCCUAUGGGUUGUAAACUGUCUUUUAUAGUAGAAGAAACACAUCUACGAGUAGAUGUCUGCCAGUAUACUAUGAAUAAGCAUCGGCUAACUCCGUG
rnacentral:rRNA from 1 species